AGUAACACGUAGGAACGUACCCCAAAGUGAGGCAUAAGCACCAGAAAUGGUGUCUAAUACCGCAUGUGCUCUUCGGAGUAAAGCUUCGGCGCUUUGGGAACGGCCUGCGCAUGAUUAGCUUGUUGGUGAGGUAAAAGCUCACCAAGGCGACGAUCAUUAGCUGGUCUGAGAGGAUGAUCAGCCAGACUGGGACUGAGAACGGCCCAG
rnacentral:rRNA from 1 species